rnacentral:rRNA from 1 species
GACGAACGCUGGCGGCGUGCUUAACACAUGCAAGUCGAACGGAAAGGCCCUGCUUUUGUGGGGUGCUCGAGUGGCGAACGGGUGAGUAACACGUGAGUAACCUGCCCUUGACUUUGGGAUAACUUCAGGAAACUGGGGCUAAUACCGGAUAGGAGCUCCUGCUGCAUGGCGGGGGUUGGAAAGUUUCGGCGGUUGGGGAUGGACUCGCGGCUUAUCAGCUUGUUGGUGGGGUAGUGGCUUACCAAGGCUUUGACGGGUAGCCGGCCUGAGAGGGUGACCGGCCACAUUGGGACUGAGAUACGGCGCAGACUCCUACGGGAGGCAGCAGUGGGGAAUAUUGCACAAUGGGCGGAAGCCUGAUGCAGCAACGCCGCGUGCGGGAUGACGGCCUUCGGGUUGUAAACCGCUUUCGCCUGUGACGAAGCGUGAGUGACGGUAAUGGGUAAAGAAGCACCGGCUAACUACGUG